CAGCAGCCGCGGUAAUGCGUAGGUCCCGAGCGUUGUCCGGAUUUAUUGGGCGUAAAGCGAGCGCAGGCGGUUAGAUAAGUCUGAAGUUAAAGGCUGUGGCUUAACCAUAGUACGCUUUGGAAACUGUUUAACUUGAGUGCAAGAGGGGAGAGUGGAAUUCCAUGUGUAGCGGUGAAAUGCGUAGAUAUAUGGAGGAACACCGGUGGCGAAAGCGGCUCUCUGGCUUGUAACUGACGCUGAGGCUCGAAAGCGUGGGGAGCAAACAGGAUUAGAUACCCCCGUAGUCCCUGUCUCUUAUACA
rnacentral:rRNA from 1 species